rnacentral:misc_RNA from 1 species
GAAAUGCGAUAAGUAAUGUAAAUUGCAGAAUUCAGUGAAUCAUCGAAUCUUUGAACGCACCUUGCGCUCCUUGGUAUUCCGAGGAGCAUGCCUGUUUGAGUGUCAUGGAAUUCUCAACUCUAUUUGCUUUUGUGAAUAGAGCUUGGAUUUGGAGGUUUAUUGCUGGUACUUGUGAUCGGCUCCUCUUGAAUGCAUUAGCUCGAACCUUUGCGGAUCAGCUAUCGGUGUGAUAAUUGUCUACGCCGUUGCAGUGAAGCAUAUCAAUGGGCUCGGCUUCCAAUCGUCCUUUACUGGACAAUGACUUUGACCUUUGACCUCAAAUCAGGUAGGAUUACCCGCUGAACUUAAGC